rnacentral:rRNA from 1 species
UACGUAGGGUGCAAGCGUUGUCCGGAAUUACUGGGCGUAAAGCGCACGUAGGCGGUCUUUUAAGUCGGGGGUGAAAUCCUGGAGCUCAACUCCAGAACUGCCUUCGAUACUGGAAGACUUGAGUCCGGGAGAGGUGAGUGGAACUGCGAGUGUAGAGGUGAAAUUCGUAGAUAUUCGCAAGAACACCAGUGGCGAAGGCGGCUCACUGGCCCGGUACUGACGCUGAGGUGCGAAAGCGUGGGGAGCAAACAGG